UUACCGCGGCUGCUGGCACGGAGUUAGCCGGGACUUCUUUACUGGGUACAGUCAUUAUCUUCCCCAGCGAAAGAGCUUUACGAUCCUAUGACCUUCAUCACUCACGCGGCAUGGCUAGAUCAGGCUUGCGCCCAUUGUCUAAGAUUCCCCACUGCUGCCUCCCGUAGGAGUCUGGGCCGUGUCUCAGUCCCAGUGUUGCUGAUCAUCCUCUCAAAUCAACUAUAGAUCGUAGACUUGGUAGGCCAUUACCCCACCAACUAUCUAAUCUACCGCGGGCCGAUCCUUCUCCGAUAAAUCUUUCCCCCGAAGGGCGUAUAAGGCAUUAGUCAUCGUUUCCAAUGGUUAUUCCUUAGAAAAGGGUACGUUCCCACGUGUUACUAACCCGUCCGCCGCUCACCCGAAGGCGCGCUCGACUUGCAUGUGUUAGGCCUGCCGCCAGCGUUCGUUCUGAGCCAUGAUCAAACUC
rnacentral:rRNA from 1 species